GGAGCAGAACAACGAGACAAACUA
rnacentral:siRNA from 1 species